GUGCUCACUUUGGGAGCACAUAUAUUAAAAUUGGAAUGAUACAGAGAAGAGUAUUAGCAUGGCCCUUGCACAAGGAUGACAUGCAAAUUCAUGAAGCAUUCCAUAUUUUU
ensembl:snRNA U6 U6 spliceosomal RNA